rnacentral:rRNA from 1 species
GACGAACGCUGGCGGCGUGCUUAACACAUGCAAGUCGAACGGAGUUCCUUGGAUAGAGGCUUCGGCCAAUUGAAUUGGAACUUAGUGGCGGACUGGUGAGUAACGCGUGAGGAACCUGCCUUUCAGAGGGGGACAACAGUUGGAAACGACUGCUAAUACCGCAUGACACAUUCGGAUGGCAUCACCUGAAUGUCAAAGAUUUUAUCGCUGAAAGAUGGCCUCGCGUCUGAUUAGCUAGUUGGUGGGGUAACGGCCCACCAAGGCGACGAUCAGUAGCCGGACUGAGAGGUUGACCGGCCACAUUGGGACUGAGAUACGGCCCAGACUCCUACGGGAGGCAGCAGUGGGGAAUAUUGGGCAAUGGACGCAAGUCUGACCCAGCAACGCCGCGUGAAGGAAGAAGGCUUUCGGGUUGUAAACUUCUUUUAAGAGGGAAGAAACAAAUGACGGUACCUGUGGAGGAAGCCACGGCUAACUACGUG